CAGUAGCCCGGGAAAACGGAGGGGGCUAGCGUUGUUCGGAAUUACUGGGCGUAAAGCGCACGUAGGCGGCUUGGUAAGUUAGAGGUGAAAGCCCGGAGCUCAACUCCGGAAUUGCCUUUAAGACUGCCGAGCUAGUAGGUGAGAGAGGUAAGUGGAAUUCCGAGUGUAGAGGUGAAAUUCGUAGAUAUUCGGAAGGACACCAGUGGCGAAGGCGGCUUACUGGCUCAUUCUAGACGCUGAGGUGCGAAAGCGUGGGGAGCAAACAGGAUUAGAUACCCCCGUAGUCCCUGUCUCUUAUACA
rnacentral:rRNA from 1 species